rnacentral:rRNA from 1 species
UACGUAGGGGGCAAGCGUUGUCCGGAAUCAUUGGGCGUAAAGCGCACGCAGGCGGAACGGCGCGUGGGGUGUGAAAGCUGGCGGCUUAACUGCCAGUCGCCAUCCCAUACGGCCAUUCUGGAGCCUUGCAGAGGGCAGUGGAAUUGCCGGUGUAGUGGUGAAAUGCGUAGAGAUCGGCAGGAACACCCAGGGGGAAACCAGCUGCCUGGGCAAGCGCUGACGCUGAGGUGCGAGAGCGUGGGGAGCGAACCGG